UGAGUUUGUUAUACGGUCGCGGGGUUCGAAAGAACCAUGAGGAAAGUCCGAGCAGCAUAGGACAGGGUGCCUGAUAACGUCAGGUAAAGGCGACUUUAAGGACAGUGCAACAGAAAUAAACCGCCGCGCAAUGCGGUAAGGAUGGAAAGGCGAGGUAAGAGCUCACCGAUACCUUGGUAACAAGGUAUGCCAUGUAAACCCCACCCGCUGCAAGAUUGGGUAUCCGUCAAUAGGGCUGUCCGUCCGACGGAAUACCGUGAACAUCGCUCGAGCUUGUCGGCGACGACAAGCCUAGAUAAAUGACCGUACACGACAGAACUCGGCUUACAGACAAACUCAAAUC
rnacentral:RNase_P_RNA from 1 species